rnacentral:rRNA from 1 species
CCUACGGGAGGCAGCAGUGAGGAAUAUUGGUCAAUGGGCGCGAGCCUGAACCAGCCAAGUAGCGUGAAGGAUGACUGCCCUAUGGGUUGUAAACUUCUUUUAUAAAGGAAUAAAGUGCGGCACGUGUGCCUUUUUGUAUGUACUUUAUGAAUAAGGAUCGGCUAACUCCGUGCCAGCAGCCGCGGUAAUACGGGGGAUCCGAGCGUUUUCCGGUUUUAUUUGGUUUAAAGGGAGCGUAGAUGGGUUGUUAAGUCAGUUGUGAAAGUUUGCGGCUCAACCGUAAAAUUGCAAUUGAAACUGGCAGUCUUGAGUACAGUAGAGGUAGGCGGAAUGCGUGGUGUAGCGGUGAAAUGCUUAGAUAUCACGAAGAACUCCGAUUGCGAAGGCAGCUUACUAAACUGCAACUGACAUUGAUGCUCGAAAGUGUGGGUAUCAAACAGGAUUAGAUACCCUUGUAGUC